rnacentral:rRNA from 1 species
GGGAAGAAGCGAAAGUGACGGUACCUAAAGAAGAAGCACCGGCUAACUAUGUGCCAGCAGCCGCGGUAAUACAUAGGGUGCAAGCGUUGUCCGGAAUUAUUGGGCGUAAAGAGCUCGUAGGUCGUUUGCCACGUCGGAUGUGAAAACCUGAGGCUCAACCUCAGGCCUGCAUUCGAUACGAGCAAACUAGAGUUUGGUAGGGGAGACUGGAAUUCCUGGUGUAGCGGUGGAAUGCGCAGAUAUCAGGAGGAACACCAACAGCGAAGGCAGGUCUCUGGGCCAAUACUGACACUGAGGAGCGAAAGUCUGGGGAGCGAACAGGAUUAGAUACCCUGGUAGUCCAGACCGUAAACGGUGGGCACUAGUUGUGGGAACCUUCC